rnacentral:lncRNA from 1 species
AGAUUGUAUAUGUCUGAUCAGCAAAUACCCGAUAUAUCGGAUUCCCCAUAAAUUAAUUCUAUAGUUUGAAAUAUCUCCAGCCCAGCCGGUACUGCUACUUUUACCUUCUUCUUUUUUUAUUUGUCUGCAGACGUGUGUAUAUAUAUAUUACUCCAGUUAAUUUCCGCGAACAAAAUAACUAGCUCAUAUGUAUAUAUAUAUAGUUUGAAAUUAACAAACAAAACCCAAUACAAAUACUAUACGCAUGCAACAGUCGCAUAUAUAAUAUGAUAGCCUCUCAUAUAUCAUUGGUUGGUUAAUUGCAGAAGAAAUCAAACGGAAGAAGUGGAGACUCCGACUGCAGUUGGAACUUGAGGAGAAAUGGCCAACACUACAAGUAAAGCCAGCAUCAGAAGUGGGACCAACAGAAGCGUCAACGGCGGCGGCGGCAGCGGCGGCAACACCAGCGGUAACACCAGAAGCGACGCCGUCAACACCACCAUGAAUAUCACAACUGCCCUCGGACUACAAUACUUGUACAUCAAAUUACUCUUCAACUCUAACUGAUGAUCAACCUUGGAAUUCGCAUUCAAAUGAUGAUCCAACCCAUACACCAUCAUUUUCCUAGAUCUACAUGUAAUUCAUUUAUACAGAUUCAGAAUUGACUGCUUCUUGUAUAUAUAUUUAGAGUGAAAGAGAGGAGGAAAGAGAACAAGGAUGUGAAUUCGGUUAUAAAUGCAAUAGGAGAGGAGAGAGGGGGAGUGAUAUAAGUAAUUAAUAGUAUAAUGAAGGAAUAACGACGUGACUUUGCCGUUACGAGACGAAUUCCUAAAGGCUGUUCGUCAUUAGCAUACGUACAAAGUUAGGAGAGCAGAUACGUACGAUUAAUAAAUUAGUCAGUUACGUUGCAAACCAAUUCUAUUUCAG